CACGUCUAAUGUUCAUACCGAAAUCUCCAGUGUAUAAGAUAUAAGCUUCUUGGGUAUUUCUUUGGAAAUGGAAUUUGUCAAAUUUUAUUUUAUUGAUGUGGCAAGGCUUGUGCGGGAUGUAGCGAUGUCUCUUUCUCAAUGUGAUUUAUUAUUAUUCUACAAUCUACUGUAUAAAACAUUGCAUAAUGUGUGAGUGUAGGUUACUAUCAUUCACACAGGGUAAAUUUUAAUGCAAUAGUAAGUAAUUAGGUAUAUUUUGAGUGCUAUGCUAUCAUUAUUGUACGACAAUUGACAAGGCUUAUGUAUCUUUAAUUAAAUAAAUUUGUAUGCAUAUUGCAUUUAGAAUGAUUUGAAAUUUGAAUGUAUUUUAAUCUUAACUUGUAAACUACGACCGGUUCGACUCCCAGAGAAAAUGGUUAUGGAAGUGUUAUUACUUAAUGACAGUAAAAUAAUCUUAAUGAAACAUGAAAUGUAUAAUAUGGAACACGCUGUGUGUGUGCGUGUGUGGAUGAAGUACGUCUAUUAUGUGAAUUCUUCAUUUAUUUAUAAUUUUACAUUUUAUUUCAAAAUGAACCCUACAAUUAUAAAAUUGAAUAGGUUAAGAUAGUGUAAUAAAGUUGCAAUGUUAUUAGGAACAUUAUUAUUUUAAGAUGUAUGUAAGUAAAUAUGUAAAUACAGGUAAAUAAAACAAAAUAGUUCAAUUAAA